AUCACUAUUGUCAACUCUCUCACUUCCUUCAAGCUCACUUUGGUGUAUGGCCCUACUAGAGGCAACCUGAAAGAUGCUUUCUUUCAAGAGCUUGUGAGCCUCAAGCCCCAGUUGGGUACCAGGUGGCUUGUUACGGGAGAUUUCAAUCAAAUAUACCGCGCUCGCGACAAAAACUGUGCAAACAUCGAUCGCUCUCGCCUCGUGCGCUUCCGAAACUCACUCAACACCUGUGAGCUGAAAGAAAUUCACCUCUAGAAUAGAAGGUUCACCUGGAGCAACGAGCAGACUAACCCGACCUUAAGCAAGUUGGAUUCUUUUUUCUGCAAUGAGGACUGG
rnacentral:rRNA from 1 species